rnacentral:rRNA from 1 species
UACGUAUGGUGCUAGCGUUGUUCGGAUUUACUGGGCGUAAAGCGCGUGCAGGCGGGCUAUUAAGUCAGGUGUGAAAUCUUUGGGCUCAACCCGAAGACUGCACUUGAAACUAACAGUCUAGAGUCCCGGAGAGGCAGGCAGAAUUCCUGGUGUAGCGGUGAAAUGCGUAGAUAUCAGGAGGAAUACCAAUGGCGAAGGCAGCCUGCUGGACGGUGACUGACGCUCAUACGCGAAAGCGUGGGGAGCAAACAGG